GGUACUCGAGUGCAUAUCAUCGGACCCGACCUAACCCACAAGGGUCGUAUCCCCCACGCCCAUCUCCUCAUUCUAUCUCGUAUUUUUUUUUCUGGUCUAAUUUCGAGAUCGUGGGAGAAGACGAGGAGACAUCGGUUUCACUUAGCUCGCCGCCCCCUCCGCCGCACGACCCAGCUUCCCCGCCGCCGAGGGCUAGAGCCCAGCUUCCCCUACCCUGGUGGAUCUAGCGCCUCGUUCCAGUUCUCCAACCGUUGCCGGCUCAGCUAGGGCAGCGGCGACGGCGCCCCCCGGCUGUGGCGCCCUCCACGGCGCCCGGUGGCAGCAGCCCCUGGACGCAGCGUCCCUUCGACUCCGCCAAUGGAAGAGAUUGGGACUCGUCUUCCCCAUGCCCCUCCGAUGGUGGCCACGGCAGCAAGGUCCCUUCCCUUCAUCCGGCCGCGGCAUGGCCAUCACACGGGCGGUGCUCCUCGACGACAAUAGUGACCGCGACCCAUCUCCCCUUCACCAACAGUAGCGGCGCCCAUCUCUACUUCACCGGCGUGCUCGUGCCGUGAUGGGUCCCUGGUGGCGGCGUCCUCUGGCCCGUUCCCCUGCAGCAGCGGCACGGCACCCACCAGGUUGCGUUCUCUAGUGGAUCCAGGCACUGAUAAGUCCGAUCUAUUCGAGACCCAGCGCGGCGAGUCCGCCAAGCUCCGCGCCAGCCGCACGCUCACCUAGUGCGGCGCCAUCGGCCACACGUAUGGGAUCUGGCUCGGCAUCAUCGGCCUGCUCUUUGCGAGGGUCGAGAGUGGCGUGGCCAGGCUCCGUGGCGUCGAAGACCGGAAGAACGCCGUCGCCGCCGGGCUAGGGGCUGGCUUGCUCUAUUGGGCCGGUCCGCGGUCUGUGGUUAUUGGUUGCGUCAUCGAAGGACUCAUGGCCAGAGCAGCCAUCGCCAGGAAUCAAGUUCUCAAGAGAUACGUGUGUGAUCUGGCUUUACAAACCAAAACCAUAACGCUACUUAGCAGGUAUUACCGUAUUACUAGAUUUAAAUCUGACGAUUUCAGGCUACUAGUAAUAAUUAGGUUAGCUCUACGCUUAUGGCAUCUGUACAAAUUUCAAAGCUUCAUUUUUGUUGAUUGACUAAUGACUACAUUACUAGUGCAAUCUCUGUCCUGAAUUAGCUAAUGGUGCUGUUUAUUUAUGGAUAUGUAUCCAAAAUCGAAUUGAGAAUGGUUGAAUUAAUGGCACUUUGAUGCUUCUAUAUAUGACUA